CCCACCUCUCCCUCCAGCGUGGAAGUGGAGCUUGGAGGCCAAGGCUCUAAUUAAACUCUUGGGGGCAGGACCACAUCUGCGUACACCUGUAUGUGUCUGUGUGGGGGUUAUAGGUGUCCUAUGAGCUGAAUAGAGGUGAUGUAUGAUGCUCUCCAGCUCUAAUUAAUUACCUCCUUUCUCUUGCCUGGUUGGGCCUCCUCACUAAUGUCCCUGUUCACACCAGCCGGUAAAGGUGAAAUUCCCAGUAGAGGAGGGUGACUGUAUUGUUAAAAAGCUCUUACCUAGCCUUUUUAUGUGUGCCUGGUCAGAAACUACAGAGAUCCAUGUCAGGUAGGUGGCUGGUUGCACUCACCCUGGUCUCUUUUUAUGUCAGAUUGUGAACACAGUAAUUCCUGGACCGAGCUGCAUUAUUCAUGACAGACCAAACAAGUUCUUAGGCUUGCUUUUCGGUGUUUUGCUGCGUCAUACAAAAGGAAGCUCUAAAUUCUGGUCAUGAUGUAGGAUCACCGGGCUACAAGCUAUAUUGUAAGUUAUAGCACUGGUCAGAAGGCAAAGUGUUUGGCAGUAUUUUGACUUAAAAAUGGAGAUAAUUAAGUUAUACAUCAGAUGUGUUUGGGUUAAGAUACGUAGAUAUUAACCAGUAGUAGGUACUGAGGGCUGGUGCUAGCUCUAUAUUACUCUGCAAACCAAUUUGACAUAGCUGACCCAGACUCUGUGAAAAAAAUGUACAGCCAUGUUGAAUGAAUUAUGUUUGACUUGACAGUUUUCUGAGUAUUUUCUAACCCUCAUUGACAGCUCUUUCAAAAUCACGUAGUAAUCAAAUGGAAAUGACCCUACUUUAAAUUUUUUUAAAGGCUUGUUCAGGCCGAAGUUGAUGCGAGCAUCGGGCUGAUCCUGUUUGUUUGGCUAUCUUUGUCAGUCAUCACGCUGAGAUAGUCUGCAAUGUGUUUUACAUAGGCAUGAAUAAAACAUAGGGUUAAGGUGAUUACACGCAAUACUGAAAACCCAGAUUGGAAAUAUCACCGAAUCAGAUCAACUGACUGAGAAAGAGCCAUUAAUUCAUCCCUUUUCAAUUUCUUUCAUCCCUCCAGGGGUAUUUUUGUGGAAGGUAUGAUGUUCAACUGAGGAUCUAAUGAUGGAAAGCCUUAUAAUUAUUUGCAGAUGGUAAAUUCCUCAAAAGAUUUAGGGAUUUAAAAAAAGCAGCUUGAAAAGAAAUUUAACACGUCAAGAUAAGAAAAAGCAGACCUUUAUCAAACGUUUGAGAUGGUUUGACCUGCCUUAAACUGCUCUUCAAACAUGUGUUUUGAUCUAUUUUUAUUUGAUACUUGUUGCCAGAAAUAAAUUGCACCUUGAAAACUCCUUCAGAGCUCUGCUGAACUCACCUGACCAAACCAUCUGCUGGACCUGUUCACAGUGGAGUGGAUGAGUGGACAGCGGAUGUAACACACACGCAAACACAUACAUAAAAAACAAUUCAUAUAAGGAAAUGUUACCCUCAUUCACAUAAAGGUAAUGCAGAACUAAUGCGUCGCAGUGGAUGACAGCAGC
rnacentral:lncRNA from 1 species